GUGGCGCCGAGCUCUUCGGCCGCGGCGGCGACGGCGUUGACGUUGCCGGAGGUCUCCCGGGCGGCGGAGGCCACCGCGUUCGAGCGGCGGGCGGUGCCC
rnacentral:tRNA from 1 species